AAUCUACAAUGCGCGCAAGCGUGAUAGUUUGAGCCAGAGUGAUUCCCAUUAGGGAAUCUUUUAUGGAAUGUAAAAAGUUCCACGAAUAAGGACUGGGUAAGACUAGUGCCAGCCGCCGCGGUAAUACCAGCAGUUCAAGUCGCAUCCCUUUUUAUUGGGUCUAAAACAUCCGUAGCUUGCCGUUUAAGUCUCUUGUGAAAUCUCACGUCUCAAGCGUGAGGCUUGCAGGAGAUACUGAACGGCUAGAGAUCGGUAGACGUAAGGAGUACGCCGGAGGUAAUGGUAAAAUAUGUUAAUCUUCGGUGGACUAACGAUGAGCGAAGGCACCUUACGAGGACGAAUCUGACAGUGAGGGAUGAAGGCCAGGGGCGCAAAACGGAUUAGAUACCCGUGUAGUCCUGGCAGUAAACACUGUUCACUAAACAUCGGGCCCUCUUCGGGAGGAUUCGGUGCUGAAGCGAAGGCGAAGAGUGAACUACCUGGGAAGUAUAGUCGCAAGAUCGAAACUUAAAGGAAUUGGCGGGGAGACAUACAACGAGUGACGCGUGCGGUUCAAUUAGAUUCUACACCGUGAACCUCACCAGGAGCGACAGCAGGAUGAAGGUCAGUCUGAAGGGCUUACCUGACACGCUGAGCGGAGAUGCAUGGCCGACGUCAGCCUGUGCUGUGAAGUGACCUGUUAAAUCAGGUAACAGGCGAGACCCGUAUCUAUAAUUACUACAGAAAUGGGAACAUUAUAGAGACUGCCUUGGUAACAAGGAGGAAGGUGCGGGCUACGUUAGGUGAGUACAUCCCUAAUCCCCUGGGCUACACGCGCGCGGCAAUGGUAUGUUCAAAUGGAUGCGACUCCGAAAGGAGAAGCUAAUCCCCUAACGCAUAUCUCAGUCCAGAUCGAGGGUUGCAACCCACCCUCGUAACGUUGGAAUUCGUAGUAAUCGGAUAUUAGCACUGUCCGGUGAAUAAGUCCCUGUCUCUUGCACACACCGCCCGUCAAACCAACCGAGUUAUGUAGGGAUGAAGCUCAUAAGAGAAAAAUCUUUUCAUGACAAGGUAGGUUAAGUCGUCACAAGGUAUCUGUAGGGGAACCUGCAGAUG
rnacentral:rRNA from 1 species